rnacentral:lncRNA from 1 species
CAAAGCAGUGCUCCCCAUAGGCCAGGCUUCUUGCACAGGACAGCCUGCCCUUCUGGGCUGGCCCUGCUUAUUCUCCACAUAGCUUUCUCAGUUCCUACCUAGAAGUACAGCGUGGAAGAGGACAGCCUGGGUCAUGGGUCUCAGAAGUUUUAAGCAUAUAUGGAAAAUGCGCCCCUGCCAAGAGUGAUUGCCGGGCACCCUUGACUGUGUGUCUUAUCUGUAUUUCAGAGAUGCUAAAAUGAAAAGCUCUAUGGAUAAGCAAAACACAAGACAUAUUGCAAAAAGGCAGGCUUUUGGACUCAGACUGGAACUACACCACUAGCUUUCUUGGGUCUCCAGCUUGCUACUGUAUACCUCUGGAUUUUUCAGCCUUCAUGAGGUGAGCCAAUCUCUGAAGAAGCUUGACUAAUACACGAGGUAAAUUGCAAACUCCUUUGCAACUUUUUCCUACGUGUUCUUAGUUUGCCUUCAUGCCUUGAUAACCACCAAAAAACCCCACAA